rnacentral:rRNA from 1 species
AUGUCGACUUGGAGGUUGUGCCCUUGAGGCGUGGCUUCCGGAGCUAACGCGUUAAGUCGACCGCCUGGGGAGUACGGCCGCAAGGUUAAAACUCAAAUGAAUUGACGGGGGCCCGCACAAGCGGUGGAGCAUGUGGUUUAAUUCGAUGCAACGCGAAGAACCUUACCUGGCCUUGACAUCCACGGAAUUCGGCAGAGAUGCCUUAGUGCCUUCGGGAACCGUGAGACAGGUGCUGCAUGGCUGUCGUCAGCUCGUGUUGUGAAAUGUUGGGUUAAGUCCCGCAACGAGCGCAACCCUUAUCCUUUGUUGCCAGCGAGUAAUGUCGGGAACUCAAAGGAGACUGCCGGUGACAAACCGGAGGAAGGUGGGGAUGACGUCAAGUCAUCAUGGCCCUUACGGCCAGGGCUACACACGUGCUACAAUGGCGCAUACAAAGAGAAGCGAACUCGCGAGAGCAAGCGGACCUCACAAAGUGCGUCGUAGUCCGGAUCGGAGUCUGCAACUCGACUCCGUGAAGUCGGAAUCGCUAGUAAUCGUAGAUCAGAAUGCUACGGUGAAUACGUUCCCGGGCCUUGUACACACCGCCCGUCACACCAUGGGAGUGGGUUGCAAAAGAAGUAGGUAGCUUAACCUUCGGGAGGGCGCUUACCACUUUGUGAUUCAUGACUGGGGUGAAGUCGUAACAAGGUACCAAGGGCGAA